rnacentral:rRNA from 1 species
AGAGUUUGAUCAUGGCUCAGAAUCAACGCUGGCGGCGUGCCUAACACAUGCAAGUCGGACGUGAAAGGGGUUUCGGCCCUGAGUAGCGUGGCGGACGGGUGAGGAACGCGUGGGUGACCUGCCCUGCAGAGGGGGAUAACCCUCCGAAAGGGGGGCUAAUACCGCAUGAGCCCGAGAGGGGAAAGACGGUGAGUCGCUGCGGGAGGGGCCUGCGUCCGAUUAGCUGGUUGGUGGGGUAAGAGCCCACCAAGGCGACGAUCGGUAGCCGGUCUGAGAGGACGGGCGGCCACACUGGGACUGAGAUACGGCCCAGACUCCUACGGGAGGCAGCAGUGGGGAAUUUUGGGCAAUGGGCGAAAGCCUGACCCAGCAACGCCGCGUGGAGGAAGAAGGCCUUCGGGUUGUAAACUCCUGUCCCGAGGGACGAAGUAGGUGACGGUACCUUGGGAGGAAGCCCCGGCUAACUCCGUGCCAGCAGCCGCGGUAAUACGGGGGGGGCGAGCGUUGUUCGGAAUUACUGGGCGUAAAGGGCGCGUAGGCGGUCUCGGAAGUUCUGGGUGAAAGUCCCCGGCUCAACCGGGGGAGGUCCCAGGAAACCACGGGGCUGGAGUGCUGGAGAGGGAAGUGGAAUUCCCGGUGGAGCGGUGAAAUGCGUAGAGAUCGGGAGGAACACCGGAGGCGAAGGCGGCUUCCUGGACAGACACUGACGCUGAGGCGCGAAAGCCAGGGGAGCGAACGGGAUUAGAUACCCCGGUAGUCCUGGCCCUAAACGAUGAACACUGGGGUGUGGGGGGCGCGAAAGCCUUCCGUGCCGGAGAUAACUUGUUAAGUGUUCCGCCUGGGGAGUACGGCCGCAAGGCUGAAACUCAAAUGAAUUGACGG